rnacentral:rRNA from 1 species
GACGAACGCUGGCGGCGUGCUUAACACAUGCAAGUCGAACGGAAAGGCCCUGCUUUUGUGGGCUGCUCGAGUGGCGAACGGGUGAGUAACACGUGAGUAACCUGCCCUUGACUUUGGGAUAACUUCAGGAAACUGGGGCUAAUACCGGAUAGCAGCUCCUGCUGCAUGGUGGGGGUUGGAAAUUUUCGGCGGUUGGGGAUGGACUCGCGGCUUAUCAGCUUGUUGGUGGGGUAGUGGCUUACCAAGGCUUUGACGGGUAGCCGGCCUGAGAGGGUGACCGGCCACAUUGGGACUGAGAUACGGCCCAGACUCCUACGGGAGGCAGCAGUGGGGAAUAUUGCACAAUGGGCGGAAGCCUGAUGCAGCAACGCCGCGUGCGGGAUGACGGCCUUCGGGUUGUAAACCGCUUUCGCCUGUGACGAAGCGUGAGUGACGGUAAUGGGUAAAGAAGCACCGGCUAACUACGUG